rnacentral:rRNA from 1 species
GAUGAACGCUGGCGGCGUGCCUAAUACAUGCAAGUCGAGCGAACGGACGAGAAGCUUGCUUCUCUGAUGUUAGCGGCGGACGGGUGAGUAACACGUGGAUAACCUACCUAUAAGACUGGGAUAACUUCGGGAAACCGUAGCUAAUACCGGAUAAUAUUUUGAACCGCAUGGUUCAAAAGUGAAAGACGGUUUUGCUGUCACUUAUAGAUGGAUCCGCGCUGCAUUAGCUAGUUGGUAAGGUAACGGCUUACCAAGGCAACGAUGCAUAGCCGACCUGAGAGGGUGAUCGGCCACACUGGAACUGAGACACGGUCCAGACUCCUACGGGAGGCAGCAGUAGGGAAUCUUCCGCAAUGGGCGAAAGCCUGACGGAGCAACGCCGCGUGAGUGAUGAAGGUCUUCGGAUCGUAAAACUCUGUUAUUAGGGAAGAACAUAUGUGUAAGUAACUGUGCACAUCUUGACGGUACCUAAUCAGAAUGCCACGGCUAACUACGUG